CGUCAACAUCAGCAUUGUUGAUCGGGCCAUCCAUCGUCUUGUUUUGUUUUUCCUGUGUCGUAAAGAGGCAGUAGCAAGACACAAAGUUGUUGUAUAUGUGCGUACAAGUGCCAAAACCAAAAAAACAAGUUGCGCUAUUUCUGUUUUGCCAAUCAGUCUGUUUUUGGAACUCUUCCACGGCGUAAGCUUCUAAUUUUGGCUUUGGCACACAUAGCGGAGCGCCUUUUACUUCCUUCCGUCUCAGUUGCAUCAUUACUGAAAUUAAUUUGAGAAGAUAAUUCGUCAUUAUUAAAUGCCAACAAUCGUUUCAUAUCGAAAACCGUUUUCGUCCUCGUGCUGCUGCCACCUUGUGGGUCAUCUUGUCAAUUCGGGAAUGGCAAAACAUUUCGACAUGUAGGGCAUUGUCCAUCCUCAAGUUGUAACGACCGAAGUGUAAAGAGCGUCUUGUUACUGUUUGACAGGACGUGCGAGCGUUUUUCAAAGUGAAACAGAUCAAGAAGUUGAGGAAGCGCCAAAGUGUAUUGUGGAAUGUGCGGUAAUAUAAUGAUGAAAAAGGCACUGCAAUACACACCAGAUAGACAAGGUCUAGAAACAGAUGCGGGAUAGGAAGGUAAGGAUAAUAAUUGUUAUUUUAACAGAAUGUAAGUAUACCAAAAGGAGAAUGUUUUUGUUCGUUUUAUAUCUUUUGGAUUUUUUAUUUUACCAGAAAUUUGGUGGAUUUAUUGAAAUGAGGACUGGGGUAAUACGAAAAUAUAAAAUAAAUCGUGCAAUUUUCGAUCUAACCGCUCAUUACGGCACGAACAAAUUCUUCGUAGUUAACGUUGCCUUGCGAAUCUUCAUGGCCAUUCAAAAGUUCCCCAACUUCAUCAUCAGCCAAUUUCUCACCUGCAAAUUAAAGGUAUUAAUUUUUCCUGCAUACAGUCAAGUUUUAAGAACAUACCUAAUGUUGUGAGAAGGUGUCUCAAUUCUGCUGAUGAAAUGUAACCAUUGCCAUCUUUGUCAAAAUGCCUCAGGCCUUCAAUAAAGUCUUCUGCUGUAUCAGCUGAACGGUUUUUAGAAAUAGCUUGAAGGAUAGG